CAAAAAUGCAGAACAAGCUGUGAUGAGCUGGGAGCUCUUUCAGGGGUGGAGACUUGGGUUUCAUUUUUACUCCUGUAUCCUCGGCGCCUAGUGCUCUGCUGGGCAGAGCAGAAGCUCAACACGUGUGAUGCGUGAUCAAUGGCAGAACCCCAGGGGCCCUCUCUCUGAGAAGACAUGUGCCCUCCCUCUUUCCUUGCUGAAGUGGUGGGCAAGAAAAUGGACCCAGAUGGAGCUCACACUUGCUCUUCUCAAACACAUGUUUUCCCUCAUAUACUCGUCUUAUACCUUCAUGGUCAAAAUGUGAAGUCUAACUGGUUUUCACCUGUCCUCAUGUCUUGUGGGACAUUUCCAAAAGAGGGAACAGCCUGUGAUGAGCAGAAACCUCACAGCAGCACAGACCAGAGCUCUGUCUGGACACCAUGGGCACUGCUGUCUGAGGUCUGAAGAGUCUCUGCAUAAAGGGUCCGUUCCUGGUGGUCUGUGGCCCCCACCCCCGAUCCUAAGACUGCUGCGGAUUCACGUGGGGAGGAAGCUGGGAACAAGCUGGGAACAGCUGGAGGGACGAAAACUGAGGACACGCUGACUGGUCUGGGAGACAACCUCCUGCCAUCUGCCUCUCCUUCCCCACAAUGGGUCCUGAAGAGGAAGAAAAAGCAAGCAAGUUUAAUUAUUCUGAACAUAUCCUGGGACAUUUCAGAGUCCCCUACAAAGGAACUGAAAUGUUGCAUGCUCCUUAACGCUAAACGUCACUAAUGAGAAAUUUUUGUUGUUGUUGUUCUGCCUAUAAGACAUUUUGUGGAUGACGUUCAGCCAGUCAGCACUUUCACAGAUGUGGGCGCGUCAAUGGUUAAUCGUUUGAGGCAGAAACCACUCGGUGCUGCAAAAUCGGUUUGCGCUGCUUUUGACACACACUGGUAUGGGUUAGAUACUUCAGGGUGAAACUAAUACACGGAAUAAGUCUUUAAUUCAGUCAUUCCCCCUACCUGAGGCAAAUCCCAUGGGUUUCAUACGAUGUGAAUCAUCCCCACUCAGAGAUAACUAAACACAUUAAGAAAAGGUAGCUCUGAAGUGGCUUGGACAUCUGUUACUGGAGCACAUAGGGUGACUUGAUCAGUCAAUUAAUAUCUCAUAGCUCAGUUUCCUACUUAGCUGUGUUGCUUUGUCAUCGCUUGGUCUGGAAAGAGAGGAGCCCUUUUCAAUUGCUCUUUUUCCCUCCACAAAUUCAGCAAAUGGUCAAAAGACAAAAUCACAUCAGGCUAUCAAAAGUACAUUCCAUACCUCUUUAGCUUCCUAGGGAGUUGCAGGGAGAGGCUGAGGUUCAAGUCUUUAGAAACACAGAGGAAGUCGUGAGUGUUGAGGUCAAUUUCCAUCCUUCAGUGAACUGGUUUCACUGUUCUAUUGUGGCCUUUGAAACUGACUUAGCAAUGUCUCCCCUGUUUUCAGA
rnacentral:lncRNA from 1 species